rnacentral:rRNA from 1 species
CCUACGGGAGGCAGCAGUGAGGAAUAUUGGACAAUGGGCGCAAGCCUGAUCCAGCCAUGCCGCGUGCAGGAAGACGGUCCUAUGGAUUGUAAACUGCUUUUAUACAGGAAGAAACACCUCUACGUGUAGAGACUUGACGGUACUGUAUGAAUAAGCAUCGGCUAACUCCGUGCCAGCAGCCGCGGUAAUACGGAGGAUGCAAGCGUUAUCCGGAAUCAUUGGGUUUAAAGGGUCCGUAGGCGGUUUAAUAAGUCAGUGGUGAAAGCCCAUCGCUCAACGAUGGAACGGCCAUUGAUACUGUUAAACUUGAAUUAUUAGGAAGUAACUAGAAUAUGUAGUGUAGCGGUGAAAUGCUUAGAGAUUACAUGGAAUACCAAUUGCGAAGGCAGGUUACUACUAAUAUAUUGACGCUGAUGGACGAAAGCGUGGGGAGCGAACAGGAUUAGAUACCCUGGUAGUCCACGCCGUAAACGAUGGAUACUAGCUGUUCGGAGCAAUCUGAGUGGCUAAGCGAAAGUGAUAAGUAUCCCACCUGGGGAGUACGUUCGCAAGAUGAAACCUUAAAGGAAUUGACGG